rnacentral:rRNA from 1 species
GACGAACGCUGGCGGCGUGCUUAACACAUGCAAGUCGAACGAAGAGCGAUGGAAGCUUGCUUCUAUCAAUCUUAGUGGCGAACGGGUGAGUAACGCGUAAUCAACCUGCCCUUCAGAGGGGGACAACAGUUGGAAACGACUGCUAAUACCGCAUACGAUCUAACCUCGGCAUCGAGGAUGGAUGAAAGGUGGCCUCUAUUUAUAAGCUAUCACUGAAGGAGGGGAUUGCGUCUGAUUAGCUAGUUGGAGGGGUAACGGCCCACCAAGGCGAUGAUCAGUAGCCGGUCUGGGAGGAUGAACGGCCACAUUGGGACUGAGACACGGCCCAGACUCCUACGGGAGGCAGCAGUGGGGAAUCUUCCGCAAUGGACGAAAGUCUGACGGAGCAACGCCGCGUGAGUGAUGACGGCCUUCGGGUUGUAAAGCUCUGUUAAUCGGGACGAAAGGCCUUCUUGCGAAUAGUUAGAAGGAUUGACGGUACCGGAAGAGAAAGCCACGGCUAACUACGUG